rnacentral:tRNA from 1 species
GGAAAUGUGCCUGAAUAUCCAAGGAUCACUAUGAUAAAGUGAACAUAGAGGUCUACCAAUCCUCUCAUUUCCU